GUCACUCUCCCGGAGAUGGUGCCUGGGGUGGCCUCUAAGCCUUGAAUGUGUCCCCGAAAGAGUAAGAAGGCCUGGGUCCCUGUGAGGGGCCGUCGGCCUAGAUACCUUGCCCGCGUUCUAGGGGGCCGUCCGGGACCGGGAGAUGGAGGAUGAAAGUUUAGUUCCCCCAGUCGGGCCUGGGAGCCGGCGGAACGUCAUGGGAGCUGUAUUAUAAAGCGAUACUGUGAGAAAAGAUUUGUGUCUAAAUACCUGGCAACAAUUGGAAUUGACUAUGGAGUCACAAAGGUACACGUCAGAGACAGAGAAAUCAAAGUUAACAUCUUUGAUAUGGCUGGACAUCCCUUCUUCUAUGAGGUUCGAAAUGAGUUUUACAAGGACACACAGGGUGUGAUACUGGUCUAUGAUGUUGGGCAGAAAGACUCCUUUGAUGCCCUCGAUGCAUGGCUGGCAGAAAUGAAGCAAG
rnacentral:sRNA from 1 species